rnacentral:rRNA from 1 species
AUGGACCACGUCACACUGUUACAGGGGCUCCCGAGGCGACAUCCAGUUGCUCCGCGCGCGGGGAUUAUUUUCACCUCUGUUUACUUUUGCGUUUAUUUUGCAGGCCAAAAACAGGUGAGCGAAUCGGGAUUCAGCCGUGCGAGAUUUUUUGUGAUGAUGUUGCUCCAUGUUCUUUUUGUGAUUCAGGUGUUCGUUUUGCACAUGUUCAUAGUGGGCAACCUCGAGGUCAUCGUCACUUCGAGCGCGGCGAGAUCCUCGAGGUCGUCAUCAUCACAGACAAGGGCACUGGCAGAUCCAAUGGCGGCGGAUUCAUGA